AUUGAACGCUGGCGGCAGGCCUAACACAUGCAAGUCGAGCGGAUGAGUGGAGCUUGCUCCAUGAUUCAGCGGCGGACGGGUGAGUAAUGGCUAGGAAUCUGCCUGGUAGUGGGGGACAACGGUUCGAAAGGAACGCUAAUACCGCAUACGUCCUACGGGAGAAAGCCGGGUACCUUCGGGCCUUGCGCUAUCAGAGGGGCCUAGGUCGGAUUAGCUAGUAGGUGAGGUAAAGGCUCACCUAGGCGACGAUCCGUAACUGGUCUGAGAGGAUGAUCAGUCACACUGGAACUGAGACACGGUCCAGACUCCUACGGGAGGCAGCAGUAGGGAAUAUUGGACAAUGGGCGAAAGCCUGAUCCAGCCAUGCCGCGUGUGUGAAGAAGGUCUUCGGAUUGUAAAGCACUUUAAGUUGGGAGGAAGGGCAGUAAACUAAUACCUUACUGUUUUGACGUUACCAACAGAAUAAGCACCGGCUAACUUCGUGCCAGCCGCCGCCGUAAUAC
rnacentral:rRNA from 1 species